CUUGCCUGUGGCUAACGGCAGAGAGAGAGAAUAUGUGGUAUUUUUCCAACCUCUCUAACUCUCGAUUUUUUCCCUUUCUUUCCUCUUUCUCCAUCUUCAAUCUCUUCCUUCCACAAUUGGGGCAAUUCAAUUUCUUCGUUUCUUUGUUUUGACGAAAGUGGCGUCUUCGCCAAGCAAUUCAAAGCCCUAAAUUCUUGAGGCAAUUUCUUGUUUUUCCGACAAUGGUUGAAUCUUGAAUAGAUAGAGAAUUUGAUGAAUCUGUGACAUGUUCGGACCAUUUGAGAUGAAUGUUUAUCAAAGAGUGAGAACAUUGGUGUCGAAGUGGAGCAAAGCUAAAGGUGAAAUAAGAGUGCAAGAAUAAUCCAAUUGAGGAAUUACACGCACUGAAGAGUUUCUACAUGCAUGAUAUAUGAUUGUGUUAGUGUGGAAUUUGUAUUAUGACAUUCUUAUUAUGAACUUGAGAUAUGACUGAGUUGGAAAAAAUGUAUUACAU